rnacentral:rRNA from 1 species
GUCGAGCGGACAGAUGGGAGCUUGCUCCCUGAUGUUAGCGGCGGACGGGUGAGUAACACGUGGGUAACCUGCCUGUAAGACUGGGAUAACUCCGGGAAACCGGGGCUAAUACCGGAUGGUUGUUUGAACCGCAUGGUUCAAACAUAAAAGGUGGCUUCGGCUACCACUUACAGAUGGACCCGCGGCGCAUUAGCUAGUUGGUGAGGUAACGGCUCACCAAGGCAACGAUGCGUAGCCGACCUGAGAGGGUGAUCGGCCACACUGGGACUGAGACACGGCCCAGACUCCUACGGGAGGCAGCAGUAGGGAAUCUUCCGCAAUGGACGAAAGUCUGACGGAGCAACGCCGCGUGAGUGAUGAAGGUUUUCGGAUCGUAAAGCUCUGUUGUUAGGGAAGAACAAGUACCGUUCGAAUAGGGCGGUACCUUGACGGUACCUAACCAGAAAGCCACGGCUAACUACGUGCCAGCAGCCGCGGUAAUACGUAGGUGGCAAGCGUUGUCCGGAAUUAUUGGGCGUAAAGGGCUCGCAGGCGGUUUCUUAAGUCUGAUGUGAAAGCCCCCGGCUCAACCGGGGAGGGUCAUUGGAAACUGGGGAACUUGAGUGCAGAAGAGGAGAGUGGAAUUCCACGUGUAGCGGUGAAAUGCGUAUAGAUGUGGAGGAACACCAGUGGCGAAGGCGACUCUCUGGUCUGUAACUGACGCUG